AAACCCUUACCGAACGAAAGCUUUAACCCUUGUGCGAUUCCGGCAUCAACCCUCAAUCCGACCAUCACGUUCCGUCUUCAAAUGCCAUCGAGAAGGUGACCGUGGCGACGAUGAUAGGGGAGGUGGCUGCUUUGGUGGUCGUUGAGGCGGAGGCUUUCGUGAUGAGGGUUUUCCAUUUGAAGUCAUCGAGGUUUCUACUUUUCUUCAUGCAUGUGAGGGAGAUGCGGUCACAAAGUUCACAAAUGAGAAGAUUCCUUUCUCUAAUGCCCCUAUUUAUCUCUAGAACAAAGACUCAAAUAGAAAAAGUUGAUGAAAUUUUCGAUCCCAUCAAUGAAUCUAUGAGUUCACUGGCCUUGAUUUUGUUUGUUGUUUAGUUUUGAUAUAUGAUGAAAGGUGUUGUUUUCAUUAAAAAAAUGAUAAAUCAUUGUUUUUUUUAAUCUGAUUCCCGUACUUCUCAAUCAAAAUGAUGGAAGAAAUUGUACAAAUUAUAUAUUCCUUACAUGGAGUUGGCAUGAUCGGCGUCCAUGCUGCAGAUUAACAUCAUCUAUCUGACCAAUUUUAUUUGUAGAUUACAAAUUAUAUAUUAAAUGAAAAAGAAAAUUAUCAUUUCUUUUACAUCUAUGUAAUGGUACUCAUGUAUAGUAGUUGUGCCUCUACUCUAGUAUAAUAUAUAUUCAUGGUUGUCUAAUGUGAUUUCAACACUUCUAUUUAUGAAUUCAUGAAGCUAGUGGGCUGAUUUUAAAUUGCUAGGAUGAUCAACCUGCUAGGGAAGGAAAGGCAGUAUUUGUUGAAGGAAUUCCCCGUGAACUGGUUUCUUGUAAGAAGUAUUGUAAAGUUUUGAAGGUUGGGUUGUGGUAAUGGAAGCACCGUUAUUCCAAUCUUGCGGUAACCUCCAACCAAGCUAAUUUUAAAGGUGUCAAGUGUAUUUUGAUGUAUUUUGAUUUUGGGGAAGAAUUCAGAUGACAAAAGCAUCAAGAAGUCGAUCGUCGGUCUGGAAAGUUAGUGAUAAACAUCCAGGUUGGAUAUGCUUCAGCUGAGACUUUUUAGUUCAAUAGAGAAUCAUACAACAUUUUAGUUGGAGGUAUAUCUUUUCUGUUAAAUUUUUCAUGUAGGAUUUUGGUAUUUUUUUUCGAUGCACAUGGUCGUAUCAGGUACGAUUUUCUCAAAUAAUUCUCGGAUUUUUGUUUUUCGCUCAUUAACUUGUUUAGUUUGUUACUGAAUUCUACCUUCCAAUUCUACCAAUAAUAUUCAACCAGGUAUUUAUUUGGAUUAAAUUUGCUGAGAUAAAAUUUCUAUGGCUGGGCUGGGAUGCAGGGGAGGAAUUCAUUAGGUUCAACUGGAAUCGACAACUUCAUGAGUUUACUUUCAAAGAACACUUUCAGAGACGAACAUUCUCGGUUGGUCGUUUAUGUUUUAGCAGAAAAUCUUGUUAUAUGUAUUCUGAUGCAAUUUAAAAUAUUUUUUGAU